ACCAUCCGUUCUGGUGGUACCACUUUGAACGAUUUGGAGUCUACAACUACAGGUGUAACUGAAUCACCAACUACACCUGGACCAACAACUACAGGUGUAACUGAAUCACCAACUACACCUGGACCAACAACUACAGGUACAACAGAAUCACCAACUACACC